rnacentral:tRNA from 1 species
GCACCAGUAGCUCAGUGGAUUAGAGCGUCGGUCUUCGGAACCGUGCGUCGGGGGUUCGAAUCCCUCCUGGUGCACCA